rnacentral:ncRNA from 1 species
UGGUCCUAACCUUGAAAUCAGUUAUUACUUAAUAUACACAUGCAAGUCUCCGCACCCCUGUGAAAACGCCCUUAAAUCCAUAUAAUGGACAAGGAGCUGGUAUCAGGCACAAAAAUUAGCCCAAGACACCUAGCUAUGCCACACCCACACGGGAACUCAGCAGUGAUUAACAUUGACAAUAAGCGACAGCUUGACUCAGUUAAAGUAAAAAGGGCCGGCAAAUCUGGUGCCAGCCGCCGCGGUUACACCAUGUGGCUCAAACUGACUUUAUUCGGCGUAAAGCGUGAUUAAAGUUUCUGAUUAAACUGCAAUUAAACUGUAAUUAAGCUGUGACACGCUUGUAUACAAGAAACUCAAUCACGAAAGUUAUUGCAACCGUAACAACUUGAACUCACGACAGCUGGGAAACAAACUGGGAUUAGAUACCCCACUAUGCCCAACCGUAAACUUUUACUUACACUUACAUCGCCAGGGAACUACGAGCUAAGCUUAAAACCCAAAGGACUUGACGGUACCCCAUAUCCACCUAGAGGAGCCUGUCCUAUAAUCGAUAACCCCCGUUUAACCUCACCAUUUUUAGCUUAUCAGCCUGUAUACCUCCGUCGUCAGCUUACCUCGUGAGCGUCAAUUAGUGAGCUUAAUGCCCAUACGCCAAUACGUCAGGUCAAGGUGCAGCAAAUAAAAUGGAAAGAGAUGGGCUACACUAUCUAGUUUAGAUAAAACGAAAGACUACUUAUGAAAUCUAGUCGGAAGGCGGAUUUAGAAGUAAGAAGAGACCAAAGAGCUCUCCUUAACUAGGCACUGGGGUGUGUACACACCGCCCGUCACCCUCUUCAAAGCUCAAACAUAGUUUUUAACACAUUUUAGCAUAAUAGAAGAGGCAAGUCGUAACAUGGUAAGUAUACCGGAAGGUGUGCUUGGAAA